UACGAAGGGGGCGAGCGUUGUUCGGAAUUACUGGGCGUAAAGGGCGCGUAGGCGGCCCCUUUUGUCGCGUGUGAAAGCCCCGGGCUCAACCUGGGAACGGCGCGCGAAACGGGGGGGCUUGAGUUCGGGAGAGGAGAGUGGAAGUUCCCAGUGUAGAGGUGAAAUUCGUAGAUAUUGGGAAGAACACCGGUGGCGAAGGCGGCGUCACU
rnacentral:rRNA from 1 species